GACGAACCGGCCAAACGUUAUUCGGAAUCACUGGGCUUAAAGGGUGCGUAGGCGGCCCGGCAAGUUGGGUGUGAAAGCCCUCGGCUCAACCGAGGAAUUGCGCCCAAAACUGCCGGGCUAGAGGGCGACAGAGGUGAGCUGAACUUAGGGUGGAGCGGUGAAAUGCUUUGAUAUCCUAAGGAACACCGGUAGCGAAAGCGGCUCGCUGGGUCUUUGCUGACGCUGAGGCACGAAAGCUAGGGUCGCUAACGGG
rnacentral:rRNA from 1 species